UGUGCAGAAAAUCACAACUACACUGUGGGAGGAGAAAGGAAAAGAUGACUGACAGGAAGAACAGUUUGUAUAAUGACGGCAAGGACACGAUUUUGUGCUGAGCUCACGGGGUUCACGCAAAGUCCUUUCUCGGGGGAAGUCGGUCCACGCAGCUUUUCACUGCAAGAACAUAAGCUGUUAUCUGUCCAGCGAGGUCUCUUUGUAUGGAUUGUCUGUCUGGAAAGUUGUCGUAAAGACGGACGCCACAAUCUUCUGAAAGUUUAAAACCUGCUCACGUCAAUAUGGCUUGUGCCUGCUCAUCAGCACAAUGCCCUGGAACCUGCUGAGGCGAAUGUCUAUUCAUAUAUCACCGGUGACUUUGAUUUAUCAAUUAAUUACUGAACCACAACAAAACCCAGCAGACCACACGGUCCCUUUUGCCAUCACACAUUUGGGUUUUUAAUUAUGAGCAGUUCCAAUCCAGAACUCAGAUUAGAGUCAAGCUUUAAAAGAUAUUUGUUUUCUAGUGCUCAGAUUAUUCUUAUAUGUAAUUAUAUGAUUCUUAGUAACUGUCUUUUAUUU